UGGGGAAUAUUGCACAAUGGAGGGAACUCUGCUGCAGCGACGCCGCGUGAGUGAUGAAGGAAUUCGUUUCGUAAAACUCUGUUCUAUGGGAAGAAAAGGACUGUACCAUAGGACAAAGCUCCGGCUAAAUACGUGCCCGCAGCCGCGGUAAUACGUAUGGAGCGAGCGUUGUCCGGAAUUAUUCUGCGUAAAGGGUGCGCAGGCGGCUUUACAAGUUGGAUGUGAAAUAUUGUGGCUCAACCACAAACGUGCAUCCAAAACUGAGAAGCUUGAGUUAAGGAGAGGUAAGUGGAAUUCCUGGUGUAGCGGUGGAAUGCGUAGAUAUCAGGAGGAAUACCGGUGGCGAAGGGGACUUACUGGGCUUAAACUGACGCUCAGGCACGAAGGCGUGGGGAGCAAACAGG
rnacentral:rRNA from 1 species